rnacentral:rRNA from 1 species
UACGUAGGGUGCAAGCGUUGUCCGGAAUUAUUGGGCGUAAAGAGCUCGUAGGCGGUUUGUCGCGUCUGCUGUGAAAAACCCGAGGCUCAACCUCGGGCCUGCAGUGGGUACGGGCAGACUAGAGUGCGGUAGGGGAGAUUGGAAUUCCUGGUGUAGCGGUGGAAUGCGCAGAUAAUCAGGAGGAACACCAAUGGCGAGGGCAGACUCUGGGCCGUAACUGACGCUGAGGAGCGAAAGCAUGGGGAGCGAACAGG